CCAACAGGGAUUGCCCUAGUAACGGCGAGUGAAGCGGCAACAGCUCAAAUUUGAAAUCUGGCGCAAGCCCGAGUUGUAAUUUGUAGAGGAUGCUUCUGGCCAGCGGCCGUUCUAAGUUCCUUGGAACAGGACGUCAUAGAGGGUGAGAAUCCCGUAUGUGACCGGUGCGCAGCCUUUACGUAGCUCCUUCGACGAGUCGAGUUGUUUGGGAAUGCAGCUCUAAAUGGGAGGUAAAUUUCUUCUAAAGCUAAAUACCGGCCAGAGACCGAUAGCGCACAAGUAGAGUGAUCGAAAGAUGAAAAGCACUUUGGAAAGAGAGUUAAAAAGCACGUGAAAUUGUUGAAAGGGAAGCGCUUGCAACCAGACUUCGUAGCGAUGUUCCGCUGGUCUUCUGACCGGUCUACUCAUCGUCGCGAGGCCAACAUCGUCUGGGACCGCUGGAUAAGACCUAAGGAAUGUAGCUUCCCUCGGGAAGUGUUAUAGCCUGUGGUGAUGCAGCGCGUCUCGGGCGAGGUCCGCGCUUCGGCAAGGAUGUUGGCGUAAUGGUUGCCAGCGGCCC
rnacentral:rRNA from 2 species